GUGUCAGCAGCCGCGGUAAUACGUAGGUGGCAAGCGUUGUCCGGAAUUAUUGGGCGUAAAGCGCGCGCAGGCGGUCCUUUAAGUCUGAUGUGAAAGCCCACGGCUCAACCGUGGAGGGUCAUUGGAAACUGGGGGACUUGAGUACAGAAGAGGAAAGCGGAAUUCCACGUGUAGCGGUGAAAUGCGUAGAGAUGUGGAGGAACACCAGUGGCGAAGGCGGCUUUCUGGUCUGUAACUGACGCUGAGGCGCGAAAGCGUGGGGAGCAAACAGGAUUAGAUACCCUGGUAGUCCACGCCGUAAACGAUGAGUGCUAAGUGUUAGAGGGUUUCCGCCCUUUAGUGCUGCAGCUAACGCAUUAAGCACUCCGCCUGGGGAGUACGGCCGCAAGGCUGAAACUUAAAUGAAUUGACGGUG
rnacentral:rRNA from 1 species